AAUCAACGCUGGCGGCGUGCCUCAGACAUGCAAGUCGAACGCGAAAGUUUCCUUCGGGGAACAAGUAGAGUGGCGCACGGGUGAGUAACACGUAGGUAAUCUACCUUUGGAUGGGGAAUAACAACCGGAAACGGUUGCUAAUACCGCAUAAUGCAGCGGCACCUAAUGGUGACAGUUGUUAAAGCGGGGGAUCGAAAGACCUCGCGUCUGAAGAGGAGCCUGCGGCGGAUUAGCUAGUGGUAAGGUAAUGGCUUACCAAGGCGACGAUCCGUAACCGGCCUGAGAGGGCGGUCGGUCACACUGACACUGACAUACGGGUCAGACUCCUACGGGAGGCAGCAGUCGGGAAUUUUGGCAAUGGGCGAAAGCCUGACCCAGCAACGCCGCGUGAAGGAUGAAAUCCCUCGGGAUGUAAACUUCGCAAGAACGGGAAGAAUAAGCGAGAGUUAAUAUCUUUCGUGNUGACGGUACGUUGUAAGCUCGGCUAACUCCGUGCCAGCCGCCGC
rnacentral:rRNA from 1 species